rnacentral:misc_RNA from 1 species
UUUCCGUAGGUGAACCUGCGGAAGGAUCAUUAUUGUAUAAUCGAGGUGCGAGGGCUGUCGCUGACCCGAAAGGUCGUGCACGCCCGAGUGCCCUCACACACAUCCAUCUCACCCCUAUGUGCACCACCGCGUGGGUCCCCCUUUGGCUUGUUCGGAGGGGGGCUUACGUUUUCACACAAACUUUGUAUGCAGUGUAGAAUGUAUUUUUUGUUUUUGCGAUCACGCAAUCAAUACAACUUUCAACAACGGAUCUCUUGGCUCUCGCAUCGAUGAAAACGCAGC